GGCGCAUCAUAACCGCCGCCGCCCUCGCCACACCGCCUCCCCAUUGGCUGCGGCGCCGCCCCCAACCCAGAGCGCUGCGGCCUCCGUGAGCGGGGCCUGGGCGAAGGGGGCGGGGCGUCGAGGGGGCGCCCCGGCGGUCGCAGGGAAGGGGGAGAGGGGAGCGAGGCGCGGGGGGCGCCGGGAGAGCGCCUCCGCGGUGGGACGGAGCCGGACUGGGCCGAGCGAGGGAGGCUCCUGAGCCUCGGAGGACCCCGGGGUUGGCUUUGGGAGCUGAAAGUUUCCUUGGACCCCUCGGAAGCCCCGUGACAUCAGAGGCCGGGCCUGGCAGGGGCAGGCAGGAAACGUGUCUGGAGGCUACUGCCCUCUCCGCGUGACCUUGGGCGAGCAGCCUCCUCCUGGGGCUCAGUGGGUGUGAUUUUGUAACAUUUCCCAGCGCUGCCACAGGCGCGUCUCGCCCUGUCCAACGCGGAGCCCGAAGAAUUACUAAGAAACCGAGGUCUGAAGGAGGGAAGAGGUGACGGGCUCGAGGCCACACGGUGGGCCAGGCUGGGCCCGGCUGCACGCCGGCUACCGGGGCCCAGCCCUCUGCACGCCUCCCGCAGCCUCAGUUUCCCUGUCCGUGGUACUGAGGAUGCUCGGGCCUAGAAGUUCAGGGCUGGAGGCCCAGGGACCGUCGAGGGAGGGGCAUCAUCCCCGCCAUGGGGCCGCCGCAACUGCCCAGAGCACAGGCCAAAGACCCCUGAGGCCCCCUCCUCCUUCAGAGCAUGCACGUCGCAAAUUCUCAAUGACUGUUUGGAGGAAUGAAUAAAUGAAUUGUGAACAAAUGGUCUGAAGAUUCCAGAGGCACACCAGAAGACUACAUUUCCUAGCCCCCCACCCCCUUGCAGUGUCUGGGACCAUGUGACUCCUUAAUUAGGUCACUUCUCUCUCCUGGGAGGCCCUCUCUGCCCUCUCUAAGUCUAACUAGUGGCAAAGGAUCUAAGGGAAGAAACCUGGCAGAGUUACUAGUCCCAAGAAGCCUGGGUCCCUGAAUCACCACAUGGAAGUCUACGCGCCCACCACCUGAAUGGACUAAGGAAGCUGCAGGAUGAAGACAACAGCAUCACAAGGAGGAAGCCAGGAUCCCUGUGUUACCACAAGGAGGAGAGAUGCCUAACCAAGACCGUCUGCAAGGAUUUUGUGUGAGCCAGAAGCAGAGCUGUAUGGUGUUCAGCCACUGAGAUUUGAGGGCUGUUUGUUACAGCAGUUGACCUAUCCUGACUGACACAUCACAUCAUUCCUUUCCCCACCAUGUGUCUAACAUGCUACCAAAUUGAAUUUUAAGUAAAUUAGUACUUAUAAAUUAAGUACAAAUGCUUUUCAAAUUCACAUGAAUCUUUGGUAAAUAAAACUGGUUGUAAAAUUAUUGAUAAAUAUAGA
rnacentral:lncRNA from 1 species